rnacentral:lncRNA from 1 species
CUACUUAUUCUAGUUAAACCUGCUAAUGCCUAGAAUAACUGUGAAAGUGAGAGGUAGCUAUGAUUUAUUCAUUGUGUUUGUUUAUUCCUACUUCCAACCCUUUGCCUAUAUUUCUUUGUGGAAAUUUUAGCUACAAAAAAGAGAAUUUAAAAGGAGCAAGUAUUCGUAUUUCACUUCUUUUUCUUGAAUGAAAUGCAAUCCUAAAUUAUUUAAAUGCCAUCAAAUUGUCCUAUAGGAUCUUAAAAAUAUAACCACUUAGUAAGCUUCUAGCAAAUGAACAAGAUAUCAUCUUGUGGUUACGAAAAAGCAGGCUUUAGGUGAAGGUAAUUUUAUUCAAAAUCUCAGCAAUAGAAAUAAUCAACACCAAAGGGAAAUCGGGAGAGCAAACUUAGCUUGUUUAUGGCAACAGAUAAAUAGGACAUUUGUUUAUUAAAAAUGAUAAACAAUUAUAGCAUUUAAGUCUUGGAUUAUCUGCUAUACUAGCCAAACACCUGAGACUAUGACUUUAUAAACAAACUAUACAAUAAACUGGGCAAACAUUCAUGAAAGUAUCAACUACAAGUUUAAGCCUCCUUCGGCCAUCAACUUAAUUUAAGGUGUGUUUGGAUAUUUGCAACUAGGUUUACAUGAAUCUGGACUAUAAGAAGUAGUUUCUUUUUAGUGUUUGGAUUGCUGUAAGUUGAUGAAAUUCUUGUGAGUCAAAACUACGUUUGGAGGUCCAUGUGCAGAAUUUGUUUUAUAGCCAAAUUGAUCGUAAGGCAAACUGCUGCAACUAGAAAAAUCUUUGGAAGCAUCUUUAUGAUGGGUUUAAAUCCUAGCAGGGUUAUUGGCCGGUGCAGACAAUUCAUACCAUUUUUGUAAUACAACCAAGUACUUCUAUAGUUAUCAAAUACAGGCACACAAAUAUGUCAUGUUAUUUUCCUGCAACUACAAAACCACUACAUCAAGCAUUGAAACAACUAUACCCAAAUAUAAUCUUAUUGAAAUGCAUUUCUCAUUUAUAGAUAUCCAAAGACUAUCUAAAUGAUUAUAAUCUUGUCCAAAGGUAGUUCGAUGUGCUCUUUUUUAUCACGAAUUUUUGCAUAUGAUGAAGCACCAUGUAGGCCUUAAUGAUGAUGGGAACCCAACAAUAUUCUCGAAUGACGCUCUUCUUGACUCUCAUGUGAGCACAAGCCAUGAUGCAUCCAAUUGAUAGCCUUGUAUUCUAUAAUAUGGGCAGUACU